GUACCUGCCUCUGCAGCGCACGUACUACAACUGGAGCAAUACAGGAUGAGCGUCUCCCCUGUGCAAGGAUGACAUGCAAAUUCGUGAAGCGUCCCAUCUUUUU
rfam:Canis lupus familiaris chromosome 1, whole genome shotgun sequence.